rnacentral:lncRNA from 1 species
CUUCAAUUAUCCUUUCAAACCCGUUCUGUUUGGUCCACGCAUAAUGAAAGCUAAUUGCCUACAAUCCUGUGGGCUCCCGUCAGAGCCAAGGCUGCUGCUUAGUUUUAAAAUGGUGGUGAAUCAAAGCAGAAGAGGAGCCCAGCAGCAGCAUGCAGCCCCCUGUGAACAUGGCCCUUUUGUGCAGAGCAGCCAAGAAGUCCAGCCAGGUGCCAAAAUGGCCACCACAGCAAACCCCCAGCCCCAUAAACAAGAGAAAGAAGGCCUCUCUGAGGCUCCAAGAUGAAAAUUGAUGCCCACUGGAAAAGUGAAGAAAAUCUCUGCAAUAAAGGCACACCACACUACCAUAGUUGGUAAAUUAGAGGAAUCACCACCUCCCAUCAGAACCUGGACUAUCUUCAAGGGAAAGAUAGCUGGAACCUGCAGUAGAACCCU